CCUACGGGAGGCAGCAGUGGGGAAUUUUGGACAAUGGACGAAAGUCUGAUCCAGCCAUGCCGCGUGCGGGAAGAAGGCCUUCGGGUUGUAAACCGCUUUUGUCAGGGAAGAAAUCCUUUGAGUUAAUACCUCGGGGGGGAUGACGGUACCUGAAGAAUAAGCACCGGCUAACUACGUGCCAGCAGCCGCGGUAAUACGUAGGGUGCAAGCGUUAAUCGGAAUUACUGGGCGUAAAGCGUGCGCAGGCGGUUAUAUAAGACAGAGGUGAAAUCCCCGGGCUCAACCUGGGAACUGCCUUUGUGACUGUAUAGCUUGAGUGCGGCAGAGGGGGAUGGAAUUCCGCGUGUAGCAGUGAAAUGCGUAGAUAUGCGGAGGAACACCGAUGGCGAAGGCAAUCCCCUGGGCCUGCACUGACGCUCAUGCACGAAAGCGUGGGGAGCAAACAGGAUUAGAUACCCUGGUAGUCCACGCCCUAAACGAUGUCAACUGGUUGUUGGGAAGGUUCCUUCUCAGUAACGUAGCUAACGCGUGAAGUUGACCGCCUGGGGAGUCGGCCGCAAGGUUGAACUCAAAGGAAUUGACGGCGNGAGAGNGCGAGACGACGACGAGGGAGGAGG
rnacentral:rRNA from 1 species